GUGGGGAAUAUUGGACAAUGGGCGCAAGCCUGAUCCAGCCAUGCCGCGUGAGUGAUGAAGGCCUUAGGGUUGUAAAGCUCUUUCACCGGUGAAGAUAAUGACGGUAACCGGAGAAGAAGCCCCGGCUAACUUCGUGCCAGCAGCCGCGGUAAUACGAAGGGGGCUAGCGUUGUUCGGAAUUACUGGGCGUAAAGCGCACGUAGGCGGAUAUUUAAGUCAGGGGUGAAAUCCCAGAGCUCAACUCUGGAACUGCCUUUGAUACUGGGUAUCUCGAGUAUGGAAGAGGUAAGUGGGAUUCCGAGUGUAGAGGUGAAAUUCGUAGAUAUUCGGAGGAACACCAGUGGCGAAGGCGGCUUACUGGUCCAUUACUGACGCUGAGGUGCGAAAGCGUGGGGAGCAAACAGGAUUAGAUACCCUAGUAGUCC
rnacentral:rRNA from 1 species